UUCCAGUCUUUUACCACCUGCCGAAGUGCCAACUUUGGAUAACCAGUGGACAGCUUGUUCCUUGAGGAUGGAGAGAUCCACAAAGAAAGGAGAGUGUUCGUUCCUGAAAUUCUUUAACAAUGGGUGAUGAGGAUGGGAUGUGAAGCAACCUCCUAGGUACCUCCUAUGAACCUCUGGACCUGCCAAAGUAUACAUGGAAGCCCCUUGUUGCUUCUCUUCCUGUGGCUUCUAUAAUCCCAGGAGGUGAUUAAGUGUGAUUCCACUCAAUGAAGAUUUCAUAACAAAACUUCAGCUUCCCACAGAGGCCACAGAAUCCUGAGGACAACCUGCAGGAAGCUGGGUCACUACUUUUUAUAAGACUGAAGCUUGCGGCUAUCCAUGUCCAGCAAGUCACUCGGUGCUAUUUUCCCAGGAGCACUUUUGCUCACUUUGCGUCCACAUUUUGAAUUCUGAAGAGCAUAUUUGUCGUGAAAGGAAACCCUGGAAUCUAUUAUUGAAAAGCAAGCAAGUUAAGUGGUGACUUCAUUAUUAAGAAAGCAGGGGAUGGAAAUGACAGAGCUUGCAGUCGGUUCUCAACUCCAAUGAUAAUAAGAACAGCGAAUGCACCUACUUCAACCAAACUGGGCCAAUCCCCGCUGGACCAAGCAGAUUCUCUCUCUUGCAAUACGAAUUUGCUUUCCCAGGUGGUCUGGAACUGGAACUGUAACACGUAAACUUGCAAAGUCUAUGCUACCAGUGGAUGGAGAAACAGAAAAACAAAGUCUUCAAAGUAAGAGAAUAAGGAAGAAGUGGAAAGAAACACAUGAAAAAGUGAAGAAAGCAAAAAGCAUACAGAAUUUCAAUUAUCUUCUUGUUUCAUUCACAAUACACUUGCAAACUGUCACAGCCUCUCAUGGAUUCUGAAACUACACAGCCCCACUAAUUCUAAGCAGAGAAGCAAGACCACAAAAGUGCUGAACCGGACACUGUCAUUUCUAAUGUGUCAUUUCUAAUAGUGACAGUCCAACAGCAACAAACUUUUUCCUUUGUAUAAUCUUUUACAAAAGGCCUCUGAACAGUGAGGUGUAUGUAACACAUGUUUAACA